CUGACUUUUACAGAUUCAUUACUGAUUCUGUAAGUUAUUUUCCAUAGCCAAGUGCUAUCAAUAGUUAGCAUUUUUAUUUCAGGUGCUCGAAUUUAGAAAUGGUUGGACGGAGGAAAGCGCAAACCAAACAUGUCAGGAGCGCCUUAAACAUGUUGUACCGUCCGAAUUGUUCGGAGAUAUAGCUGGGGCAUCGGAUAUAGAUUUCAUUAGGACUUGCAUAAUGGAUAUAAAGAUAACUGGCGACACAACUUUUAUACAAGACACUGCAAGAGCAAUGCAAACUAUCACACUUGUGGAAGCUUAUAGAAAUGAAACUCUCUCUAUAAUGAAAACAGACAAUGGGACACAAACCAUCUUAGAAUAUGCCACAAGUUUUCUAUGCUCAAACAAUUGUUCAGGAAGCGGAAACUGUACAUCAGGUUCUUGCUACUGUUUUGACGGAUUUGUAGGCCAGGAUUGUUCUCAAAAGAUCUCUGUUCCUCCUUCCAAUAUAAGUAUUCCGCAAAAUGGAUUAUGUGGUACACGUUCCCGUGCAUGUAGGAGGACAAAUAUAUAUGGAAUAUUUCCGACAUCAGAUGUAUGGUGUAAAAGGAACCAU